rnacentral:lncRNA from 1 species
CUUCAGAUGAAUUGCCCACAUGAUAAGAAGUCUUCAGUGGUAGCCAGCUUGGGGUCAAAAGGAUGGAACUCAAAGGCAACAUAAGAUUGGUUAUAAAUGUAAUUAACUAAUUUCAUAGUGGUAGGAUCACUAAUAGAGAUUUGUUCAAAUAAAUCGAUGUUCAAAGAAAAUAAGAAAGGGCAUGGUAUAGUUUGAGCCAGACUAAAUUGGCAAGCUACUAGACUGGGAGAAUACUACUUAACCAAACAUCUAUUAUUCCCAGUUAAUUCAAUGAUCGAGCCAACAUGCAAGUCUCUAGGA